CCGAGUGGCGAACGGGUGAGGAACGCGUGGACAACCUACCCCGGCGUGGGGGAUACCCGCCAGAAACGGCGGCUAAUACCGCGUACGGUUCUCCGGCGAGGGGCUGGGGAAAGAAAGCAGUAAUGCGCGCUGGGAGGGGUCUGCGGCCGAUUAGCUUGUUGGCGGGGUAACGGCCCACCAAGGCGAUGAUCGGUAGCUGGUCUGAGAGGAUGGUCAGCCACACUGGGACUGAGACACGGGCCCG
rnacentral:rRNA from 1 species